UACAGAGACUGCAAGCGUUAUUCGGAUUCACUGGGCGUAAAGGGUGCGCAGGCGGCCGGGUGUGUCAGAUGUGAAAUCCCGAGGCUCAACCUCGGAACUGCGUCUGAAACUACUCGGCUAGAGUAUUGGAGAGGGUAACGGAAUUCACGGUGUAGCAGUGAAAUGCGUAGAUAUCGUGAGGAACACCAGAGGCGAAGGCGGUUACCUGGACAAUUACUGACGCUCAGGCACGAAAGCAUGGGGAGCAAAAGGG
rnacentral:rRNA from 1 species